rnacentral:rRNA from 1 species
UACAGAGGUCCCGAGCGUUGUUCGGAUUCACUGGGCGUAAAGGGUGCGUAGGUGGCUGGGAAAGUUUGAUGUGAAAGCUCAGGGCUUAACCCUGAAAUGGCAUUGAAUACUGCCUGGCUGGAGGUUUGGAGGGGGGACUGGAAUUCUUGGUGUAGCAGUGAAAUGCGUAGAUAUCAAGAGGAACACCAGUGGCGAAGGCGAGUCCCUGGACAACACCUGACACUGAGGCACGAAAGCCGGGGAGCAAACAGG